UUCUCGGUAGUAUAGUGGUCAAUAUCCCCUGCCAAUCUCGUGGGAUACCAGGGUUCGAUUCCCCGCCGAGGAG